AUGAAUGUGGAAACCCCAGCUGAUUUAACAAGGAAGUUGAGUGGCUUUCUGGAAACUCUUACAGACCAGCUCAAGGGCAGAAAAGAACUGCUGUCAUCAGAUAUGAAGAAGGACUUCGUCAUGCACAGACUCGUCCUUUCUAUGUGGGAAAUGGAACAGAGACAAUGAAUCCAGGUGAAAAGUUGCCAAGGUUGGACAACAUAAUAUGACUGCAGUCCAAAGAUCUCAUUGUCCUCUCAGUAGGGGUCAGCUCAGAAUCAAUGUGAUGAAGCUCAACAAAAGAUGGUUUACAUCUAUCAUUCCCUAAAGAAUGCGAGACAGAUGCCCAUGAUGGGAAAAGAUGUGGAAUCAGAGAUUUACAGACUUCGCUUCCCUUUAUCACACAUGGAUGCUCUGAAGAAAAUCUGGUGUGGGUCACCAAUUCGUGUUAAGAGCCUGAAACUUCAAAUGAAGAAAAGGAGAGCCU